CGAAGGUCGCCGCGUGCACGUACGCGUUGCCGAACCCGAGGCGCCCGGCGUUCCACCCGAACACGCAGCAGCUGCACAACAGUGACAGGCCCUUCUGCUGCAGCCUCUUGGUCAUCAGCAGCAGGAUUAAGAGAUUUGAUUGAGGAGAAACAAGAGCUGCUGCUGCUGCUCAAUAGAAUUACAACCAACCGAUGAAGGAAACAAGA